CACGGGAACAUGAAACACCUAUGGGUCUUUCUCUUUGUGGUGGCAGCUCCCAGAGGUAUUCUGUCUCAGGUGCAGCUGAAGGAGUCAGGCCCAGGAGUGGUGAAGCCCUCGCAGACCUUGUCCCUCACCUGUGCUGUCUCUGGAUUCUCUCUAAGCAGCUACGCUGUAGGCUGGGUCCGCCAGACUCCCGGAAAGGGGCUGGAAUGGAUUGGUGGAAUAAUUGCUGGUGGAAGCACAUAUUAUAACCCAACUCUGAAGUCCCGGCUCAGCAUCACCAAGGACACCUCCAAGAGCCAAGUUUAUUUACAACUGACCUCUGUGAACCCUGAGGACACGGCCAUGUAUUACUGUACAGGAGGCACAGUGAGGGGAAGUCAGUGGGUGGUGAAGCUCUCACAGACCCUGUCCCUCACCUGUGCAGUCUCUGGAUUCUCUUUAACCAGCAAUCAUAUGAACUGUGUCCGCCAGGCUCCAGGAAAGGGGCUGGAAUGGGCCGGUGUUAUUUGGAGUAGUGGAGACACAGGGUAUAGCCCGAGUCUGAAGUCCCGAGUCAACAUCACCAGGGACACCUCCAAGAGCCAAGUGUAUUUAAAACUGACCUCUGUGAAUCCUGAGGACACGGCUAUGUAUUACUGUGCAACAGACACAGUGUUGCAGUGUAAUUUCUACACCAGAACGUUCAUGAAUGAGAGGGAUGUGAAUGGGCUGAGAUCACUACAAUUAAGACCCACAAGAUGUGAUUAUGUGCUUGGAUGUGUGAUCUUUGGUUGCUAA